AGUCUAGAUUUAUAUUCUAGCUGUUAUGCAUGGUGAGGCCAGCUUAAGAAACACAUGGCUUUUGAAAGACUUUCCAUUGUAUAAGGAGCAGACCAGACUUUUAACCACAAUCCAGAGACUUUUUACUUCACAAAGAUGUGGCAUUUUAUUUUAAUAAAGCUAUUGACAGAGCUCCCUUUUCGAGUGACUUUUCAAAUGCAUCUUUUGUCAACAGAGGGCUUUUAUUAGCUAAUGUAGCCUUUCUGUACUCCAUGUUAGCAGAGAGAGAAAGGAAAUGUCCUUGGGUUCCAAAUACGGAAAGUUGUGCAAAGACUCAAGGAGAAAGAAGUUGUUCCACUUUCCAAAGCUGCAUUUGUCACUUGCUGUUGUGUCAUAACUGAAAGUAAUGAACUUUCCAAUGCUACUGUCCAGAAGGUAAAGGUUUACAAGAUUAUCCCUCUAAACUGGCAAUUGCAUAAAAAGAGAUCACGAAGGAUUAAAAUGUAAAGACCAAGUAAAAGCUGUGAGUGAUAACUUGGAGAGACUUAGCUAUAAAAUACCUGAAAUGGGGGGAGUUAGGCAAGACCUAGGAGUGAGGAGUGAGAGUAACAGUCUUGGCUGUGGAAUGGGGUAGCUAGAUAUUUAGGGCUUAAUCUGAGCCACUACUGAUAAUUAAACAGUGUCGAUAAACUGAACGAGCAUGGGGAAGGAGUAUGAAUUGUGGGCUCCGAGCACAGUUAAUGUGGGGUGUUGGUGUUGUGGUUUCAUUAAUUAGUCCUUCGAUGUAAGAGCUCAGUCAGUAGUGGAACAAGCUGGUGACAGGGGCUUUGACAGGUCUUAGGACACUGGGAAAAUAGAUUGAGAUUCUAGAGCAAGGCUAGUGCAGUGUGGGAUCUGAACGUGUUGUCAGGACUGAGCCAAGCCCUUUGAUUAAGGUCAACAUAGUAGGAAUGGAGAAAGUCACACCUAAACGGGAACCUGAACCGGGGCUUCAUUUCAAAGCCCAUGGAACAGAUAAGGAAGGUUGACUAAUGACUUUUCUGCUGUUGCAGAUUGGCUCACAAACUGAGUAAGGCACAAAAGGCAGAACUGGUGUUGAUAGCAAAGUGUCAUCAGAGAAGGCAGGAAGGACACCCUGUCACACUGCCCUUUGGCUCCCCAGAUAUCACUAUUUUUUUUUUCCUCAUCCUUGUUAGGAACUGGCAGGUAGUUGUGCUUGAUGUCUAUUAGACUCCAAUUCAAUUUUGAGGUCCAUAAUUCAAUGGGGAUAGAUAUAAAAAGGCUUCCUUUUUCAUUAAAAGGGUAAUUACCUCGUUAUCAGAGUGCUGGAAAGAUGAGAGCUUAUGGAUUUUUCAUAAAAUUAUAAGUUUAUAAGGAGCCGGGUGAAGUCAUCGUAUUCUGUCCUCAAGCCAGGGACAAAUUUAAUUCACCCUUGAUGGAUGGGACAUUGUUUAACAAGGAUCUCUAGAGAAUAAGCGUUGAUAACUUUCAGUGUUUUGCAACCAUCAGUUGUGUUAUUUCUUCUAUCCUGUUGAAUAUAUUGACACAGAAUAGAAGUCCAUAAUCUUUUUGUUCUCUUUGGGUAGAAAGAACAGUGUUAUAAUUGUACUUCAUUUUCAUUAUGUUGAAGAAUACUUAUCAAAUGCCUUGUAUGUGCUUGGUGCCAGAUACAAUUGUGACACAGGGAGGAAGACAGACUUGAUCCCUGCUGUCAUUUAGCUGUGAGACUCAUGAGGGAUAAUAACCAAUAAUCACAUCAGUAAAUGACUACAAAUUGUAAUAAGUGCUGUGAAGGAAACAUUAAGGCAUUGCUACAGAGGAUAACAGGAGGAAGCUAAGACCUCAUUGAGCCUCCAGCUCCGGCCGCUGAGCCAUGGUCCCUUCUGUCUGCUAGGAUGGGAUCGGGCACUCAUCCAGUUGCAGGUGCGAGCACUAUUGAGUAGCGCAGGGUCGCGAGCUGUGGCCAUGGACUUGGGCAACAGGAAAUUAGAAAUAUCCUCUGGAAAGCUGGCCAGAUUUGCAAAUGGCUCUGCUGUAGUACAGUCAGGUGACACUGCAGUAAUGGCCACAGUGGUCAGUAAAACAAAACCUUUACCUUCCCAGUUUAUGCCUUUGGUGGUUGACUACAGACAAAAGGCUGCUGCAGCAGGUAGAAUUCCCACAAACCCUCUGAGAAGAGAGAUUAGUAUUUCUCAUAAAGAAAUUCUUACACGUUGAAUAAUAGAUCGUUCAAUUAGACCUAUCUUUCCAGCUGGCUACUUCUGUGAUAUACGGGUUCUGUGUAAUCUGUUAGCAGUAGAGGAUAUUAAUGAGCUUGAUGUCCUGGCAAUUAAUGGCACCUCUGUAGCCCUCUCAUUAUCAGAUAUUCGUUGGAAUGGACCUUUUGGGGCAGUAUGAAUAGGAAUGACUGAUGGAGAAUGUGUUGUUAACCCAACAAGAAAAGAAAUGUUUUCUAAUACUUUAAAUGUAGUGGUUGCUGGAGUACCUAAAAGUCAGAUCGUCAUGUUGGAAGCCUCUGCAGAGAACAUUUUACAGCAGGACUUUUGCCAUGCUAUCAAAGUGGGAGUGAAAUAUACCCAACAAAUAAUUCAAGGCAUCCAGCAGUUGGUAAAAGAAAUUGGUGUUACCAAGAGGACACCUCAGAAGUUAUUUACCCCUUCGCCAGAGAUUGUGAAACAUGCUCAUAAACUUGCUAUGGAGAGACUCUAUGCAGUAUUUACAGAUUGUGAACAUGAUAAAAUUUCCAGAGAUGAAACUGUUAACAAAAUAAGAUUAGAUACAGAGGAACAACUAAAAGAAAUAUUUCCAGAGGUUGAUCUAUAUGAAAUAAUAGAACCCUUCAGUUACAAGGGAAGUUUUUAGAAGUAUUAUUUUGAAUGAAUACAAAAGAUGCGAUGGUCAGGAUUUGACUUUACUUAGGAACGUAAGUUGUAAGGUAGAUAUGUUUAAAACCCUUCAUGGAUCAGAAUUAUUUCAAAGAGGACAAACACAGGUGCUUUGUACUGUUACAUUUGAUUCAUUAGAAUCCAGUAUUAAGUUGGAUCGAGUUAUAAUAGCUAUAAAUGGGAUAAAAGAUAAAAAUUUCAUGCUGCACUGUGAGUUUCCUCCUUAUGCAACUAAUGAAAUUGUCAAAGUCACUGGUAUAAAUAGAAGAGAACUUGGGCAUGGUGCUCUUGCUGAGAAAGCUUUGUAUCCUGUUAUUCCCAAAGAUUUUCCUUUUGCCAUAAGAGUUACAUCUGAAGUCCUAGAGUCAAAUGGGUCAUCUUCUAUGGCAUCUGCAUGUGGUGGAAGUUUAGCAUUAAUGGAUUCAGGGGUUCCAAUUUCAACUGCUAUUGCAGGCGUAGCAAUGGGAUUGGCCACCAAAACCGAUCUUGAGAAGGGUGAAAUAGAAGAUUAUCAUUUGCUAACAGGUAUUCUGGGAAUUGAAGAUUACAAUGGCGACAUGGACUUCAAAAUAGCUGGCACUAAUAAAGGAAUAACUGCAUUACAGGCUGAUAUUAAAUUACCUGGAAUACCAAUGAAAAUUAUAAUGGAGGCUAUUCAACAAGCUUCAGUGGCAAAAAGGAGAUUUUACAGAUCAUGAACAAAACUAUUUCAAAACCUCAGGCAUCUAGAAAAGAAAAUGGACCUGUUGUAGAAACUAUUCAGUUUCCAUUAUCAAAAUGAGAAAAAUUUGUUGGACCAGGUGGAUAUAACUUAAAAAACUUCAGGCUGAAACAGUUGUAACUAUUAGUCAGGUGGAUGAAGAAACGUUUUCUGUAUUUGCACCAACACCCAGUGCUAUGCAUGAGGCAAGAGACUUCGUUGCCGAAAUCUGCAAGGAUGAUCAGGGGCAGCAAUUAGAAUUUGGAGCAGUGUAUACCGCCACAAUAACUGAAAGCAGAGAUACUGGUGUAAUGGUAAAAUUAUAUCCAAAUAUGAUUUUGGUACUGCUUUAUAACACACAACUUGAUCAACAAAAGAUUAAACAUCCUACUGCCCUAGGAUUAGAAGUUAGCCAAGAAAUUCAGGUGAAAUACUCUGGAUGUGACCCAGCUGAUGGGAGAAUGAGGCUUUCUCAUAAAGUGCUUCAGUCUCCAGCUACAACUGUGGUCAGAACUUUGAAUGACAGAAGUAGUAUUGUAAUGAGAGAACCUGUUUCACAGUCAUCAUCUAAUUAUUCUCAGUGA